UACGUAGGGUGCGAGCGUUGUCCGGAAUUAUUGGGCGUAAAGAGCUUGUAGGCGGUCUGUCGCGUCUGCUGUGAAAAUCCGGGGCUCAACCCCGGACUUGCAGUGGGGUACGGGCAGACUAGAGUGUGGUAGGGGAGACUGGAAUUCCUGGUGUAGCGGUGAAAUGCGCAGAUAUCAGGAGGAACACCGAUGGCGAAGGCAGGUCUCUGGGCCAACUACUGAC
rnacentral:rRNA from 1 species